rnacentral:lncRNA from 1 species
CACCUAUAAAUACCGGCGUUUGGAUGCUAUUUGGGGACAACUCGGAGCCGCCGCUCUUCCCCUCUAUAAAUCAUUCUUUUCCUAUCAACUGUUAUUCAUCUCAGAAAGGCUUCAUUCUUUUGACUACCCUGCUGUUUCUGUUGGGUAUUUACCCUUGCAUAAAGUCGAUUAUCUUCAUUUAUUUUAGUCGAAUCUGCUUUUUUCCGAGAGGAAGGAGCGGGCUUGAAAUCGGAGUUCGAUAGUGCAUCUAAGAUCCGUGCCUCGGUUAGCUGCUCCGCAAUAGGUCAGUUUUCUUUCUAAACUUUAAUCUUCCCUUAUUUUGUUAUUAGAUGUAAAGUAUGUGUUGUUUCGUCUUCUGUAGAAAUCACGUUCCUUAGUGAGUCGUGUUCUAGUUGUUUACUUACUAAACGUGAAGAAGACAUGUUUGCUAAAAUUACUCUACAAAAUGGGUCAUGCUGUUUUAGCCACGAAUUAUGAUCCAAGUAUAAGAGUCAUGUUUUAGGAGUUGUAUAGAAACCAUAAGUGGCGGAGCCAGAAUUUUCAUCAAGAGGUGUCAAAAUAUAAAUAAUUAGAUAUAUUGAAAAAUCAAGUGGAGUCAACAAAUAGUAAAUAUACAUAAAAUAAAAAAACUUACCUAGCAAUAUAAUAUAAUUUUCCGGCGAAGUGGUAUGCUUGACACCCUUUGAUUCAAUGUGGCUCCGCCGCCGGAACCAUGCCUUUAAGCAUUUUAUAAGAUGACCAUGUAUUUUUAAAAGAUUGAGUGGUCAGUGUUUUCUUCUUUUCAUCCUUUACCUUUUCUUUCGAAUCUGCUAGUUUUGAAUACUUUUUGAUUUGGUUUAAGUUGAGAUUAAUUCAUGUCCUAUGUCCUUGAUAUCAUGAAAAUAAGUAUUCGUCAUGUGUUUGAUAAAUCAUUAAGUUAAUAUGACAUUCUGUGAUUCUUGGGUUUGUUAAAAGUCGUAUGUCAAGCGUUUUGUUUUUUUAUCUAAAUAUAUAUAAAUCUUGAUUUAGUUAAUGCCUAUGUCAUGUUUAGGACUCAUUUUAUUUAUAAAUUCACACCAUUAUUUACUGGAAGUUAUGUUCUGGUUAGGCUAGUCAAACUACUUGUUUAUAAAUACAUACUAUGCAUAUAGGUCCCAUUAUUUAGCAGAGAAUUUUAGGAGAGUAGAAUUCAUGUCUAGUUACCAUGAGUAUGCGAAACCUACCAUACCGAAUACUCUUUUUUUUUUUUUUUGAUCUGAAAGUAGAAGACUAUCGGUUUUGAGUAAUAUAGAAUGCUUUGUAGUCUUUUGUUUGGAUUCGUUUAACCAUAGAAGAGUACGCCUGUAGGUUUAUCGAACUAUGGAAGUUGUCUAAUGGUUAUCACUAACUCUUGAAUAUAUAUUGUUGGAUUAAACAUAUUAUAAAUUUAAGUCUUUCCUCUCAGUCCUGAAAUCUUGAUUGUAUGACAGCAUAUCUUCUUUAUUUUGAAUCCGAUAAUUUAAUGUGCAUUCAUUAUGUAUUCACCUUAAGUUUACCUUUAGUAUAGAGGAUAACUAACUUAAGCAGAUCAUCAUCAGUAAUAUCUGCAAGAAAUAGCGACUUAUUUACUACUAAGGCCCUGUUAUGAAUCAAAAGAAGUAUAAUACUAGUUUUUAUUGCCUUUAUAUGCUAUUACUGUUAAGGAUGACUCCUAAUUAUUUUUUCCUUUCUUUGCAUGUACACUCUGGAGCAAACGGAGUCUUAAUUCGAGUCUCUCGCAGUGGAGUGUCAUAGAGACUCAACGCUACCACCACCACUACAUGGAGUCAUUGCAUACCAUCUUCCUUAGAGCACCGGAUAGCGAGAAAAACAAGCGAAUCUCUUGGGGUCGCCUAUGGCGGCUUUUGUUUUCUACUUUGUCCAAUGUUGUUAAUCUAUGUGAUUUGUUUUAUUUGAACCUA